rnacentral:rRNA from 1 species
GACGAACGCUGGCGGCGUGCUUAACACAUGCAAGUCGAACGGAAAGGCCCUGCUCUUGUGGGGUGCUCGAGUGGCGAACGGGUGAGUAACACGUGAGUAACCUGCCCUUGACUUUGGGGUAACUUCAGGAAACUGGGGCUCAUACCGGAUAGGAGCUCCUGCUGCAUGGUGGGGGUUGGAAAGUUUCGGCGGUUGGGGAUGGACUCGGGGCUUAUCAGCUUGUUGGUGGGGUAGUGGCUUACCAAGGCUUUGACGGGUAGGCGGCCUGAGAGGGUGACCGGCCACAUUGGGACUGAGGUACGGCCCAGACUCCUACGGGAGGCAGCAGUGGGGAAGAUUGCACAAUGGGCGGAAGCCUGAUGCAGCAACGCCGCGUGCGGGAUGACGGCCUUCGGGUUGUAAACCGCUUUCGCCUGUGACGAAGCGUGAGUGACGGUAAUGGGUAAAGAAGCACCGGCUAACUACGUG